rnacentral:lncRNA from 10 species
AGCAGAUCCUGCUAGGAGGCUAAGCAUGAAGAAGGAAUUCAAAGAAACCUUGUGGAGAACGAAGACACAGCAGGGAGUCUCUGAUCAAGUGCCACAUCUUUAGAGAAGCUUUUCCAAACAACCGAUUAUGAAGUACACAUUAACAAUGAAGCCUCUUUUCAAGUAAAGAAGUGAGUAGUGAGUAUCUCUGUGGUCACAAUUACAGUCCUGUCUUGGUGGGUAAUUGGAUAAAAUAGGGGCCAGGACAGUAAUCCGCAG